rnacentral:rRNA from 1 species
AGUAACGCGUGGGUAACCUGCCUUAUACAGGGGGAUAACAGUCAGAAAUGGCUGCUAAUACCGCAUAAGCGCACAGAGCUGCAUGGCUCAGUGUGAAAAACUCCGGUGGUAUAAGAUGGACCCGCGUUGGAUUAGCUGUUGGUGGGGUAACGGCCCACCAAGGCGACGAUCCAUAGCCGGCCUGAGAGGGUGAACGGCCACAUUGGGACUGAGACACGGCCCAG